UUAAGACUAGAUGGGUAUCCCUACAUAGCGGGUGGGACCCACGGCGAAUGGUUCAUCAAGUCUUCAAAAAAGAAUAUAUACGAUUGCAUUGCAUAUACUAACGGAUGCGAUCAUACCAGCACUAAUGCACCGGAUCCCAUCAGAACUCCGCAGUUAAGCGUGCUUGGGCGAGAGUAGUACUAGGAUGGGUGAUCUCCCGG
rnacentral:rRNA from 1 species